rnacentral:sRNA from 1 species
AGCAUUUGUGCUUUUCACUAAGCUUUUUCAUCAUGGAUAUCCUUGUGCUCAAUAUUAGAUAACAUUUUGAAUAUUCUUUGUCCUCUUGGCUUUUGAUUAAGAUGUUGAAUAGAUCUUAUUCAAGAAAUGGAGUGCCAUACAGAUUUGUAAACCAUCUCUGAGUAGUAAAUAUGAAGAGCAGAACUAGUAGACUUAAAACAAGGCAACACAUUUCAAGAUGUUGAGUAUUGAUAACUAAUCAACUACUAGCCUAGGAGAUAAAAGCCAAAGCUGUAAACAGACAGGCCAGGUAAAUAUGAAUGAAGAAAUUGAAACUAGAGGUAAACAUCAUGGGAAGUCUAAUUAUAGGGCAAGUAUUUUUCCUUCAUAUCUUAUUGAACAUAGUCAAACCAUGCAAUACUUAUAGGCUUAACUAUUGUUUUCAUAGAAACAAUGUUAUUUUAAAUAUCAUGUGAU